UGGGCGUAAGGGCGCGUAGGCGGCCUGUUAAGUCUGGAGUGAAAGUCCUGCUUUCAAGGUGGGAAUUGCUUUGGAUACUGGCGGGCUGGAGUGCAGGAGAGGUUAGCGGAAUUCCCGGUGUAGCGGUGAAAUGCGUAGAGAUCGGGAGGAACACCAGUGGCGAAGGCGGCUAACUGGACUGUAACUGACGCUGAGGCGCGAAAGUGUGGGGAGCAAACAGGAUUAGAUACCCUGGUAGUCCACACGGUAAACGAUGAAUGCUAGGUGUAGGGGGUAUCGACCCCUUCUGUGCCGGAGUAAACACAAUAAGCAUUCCGCCUGGGGAGUACGGCCGCAAGGUUGAAACUCAAAGGAAUUGACGGGGGCCCGCACAAGCAGCGGAGCAUGUGGUUUAAUUCGAAGCAACGCGAAGAACCUUACCAGGUCUUGACAUCCAGUUAAAGCCGUAGAGAUACGGUGUGCCCUUCGGGGCGAACUGAGACAGGUGGUGCAUGGUUGUCGUCAGCUCGUGUCGUGAGAUGUUGGGUUAAGUCCCGCAACGAGCGCAACCCUUAUUUUUAGUUACUAACGGGUAAAGCCGAGGACUCUAAAGAGACUGCCGGGGACAACUCGGAGGAAGGUGGGGACGA
rnacentral:rRNA from 1 species